rnacentral:rRNA from 1 species
UACGUAGGGAGCAAGCGUUGUCCGGAAUCAUUGGGCGUAAAGAGCUCGUAGGCGGCUUGGUAAGUCGGAUGUGAAACCUCCAGGCUCAACCUGGAGUCGCCAUCCGAUACUGCCAUAGCUAGAGUCCGGUAGGGGCCCACGGAACUCCUGGUGUAGCGGUGAAAUGCGCAGAUAUCAGGAGGAACACCGAUGGCGAAGGCAGUGGGCUGGGCCGGCACUGACGCUGAGGAGCGAAAGCGUGGGGAGCGAACAGG